rnacentral:rRNA from 1 species
AACGCGAAGAACCUUACCUGGGCUUGAACCGCACAGGACCAGCUUCAGAAAUGAGGCCUUCCCGCAAGGGACCUGUGUAGAGGUGCUGCAUGGCUGUCGUCAGCUCGUGCCGUGAGGUGUUGGGUUAAGUCCCGCAACGAGCGCAACCCUUACUCAUAGUUGCUACCCGCAAGGGAGAACUCUAUGAGGACUGCUCCGGAUAACGGAGAGGAAGGUGGGGAUGAGGUCAAGUCAGCAUGGCCUUUAUGUCCAGGGCUACACACGUGUUACAAUGCUCAGUACAGAACGAACCGAAAUCGCGAGGUGGAGGAAAUCACAAAAACUGAGCCCAGUUCGGAUUGUAGGCUGCAACUCGCCUACAUGAAGCCGGAAUCGCUAGUAAUGGCGUAUCAGCUACGACGCCGUGAAUACGUUCCGGGCCUUGUACACACCGACGCAC